rnacentral:lncRNA from 1 species
CCAGAUCAGAUCAUGUAAGAUCCUUUAAACCUCUGGUCAUCACUUUAGUUUAUAUUCUCAGUGAGAUGGGAAGCCAUUUGAGGACUUUUAGGCCAAGGAUGGAUAUAAUCUCUCUUAACUUUCAAAAUGAUCACUUUGGCAACAGUAUGGAUAAUGGACUAUAUGGCAGCCAAGUGUGAAAGUAUUGAAAUCAAUUAAGUCUAUUGUAAGUCUAAACAAGAGGUAAUGGUCCACACUGCAGUGUGAACAGUAGAGAGGUUGAGAAGUAAUCAGAUUCUGGAAGAGCUGAUAGGAUUUUCUAAUGGGUUAAAUAAAGAUGUGAGAGGAAGAGCAGAAUCAGGAUGAUUCUAGUUUUAGACUUGACCCACUAAAAGAAUGAAGAUGCAAAAGAGAGAAUAGUAGUCCUUUCUUUGCCAAAAAUCAGCUCUGCAUAGCUGUGUCUAUUUUGUUCCAUUGAUCUAUGUGUCCGUCCCUCUACCAGGACCACUCUGUUUGGAUUCCUGUAGACACAAAAUCACAUUGGGUUUGUGAUUUCUCCAACCUUAUCGUUUUCAAAAUUGCUUAAGUAAUUCUAUGUAUUUUGCCUUUCCAUACUCAUUUUAGAAUGAGCUUGUCAAAAAAUCAUGCUGGGAUUAUGUUGGCAAUUGCAUUAAAUCUAUAGAUCCAUUUGGUGAAUAUUACUGUCUUUACUAUGUUGAUUACUCCAAUUCCUGACUACAGUAUGUCUCUCCAUUUAUUUAGGUCUUUAAUUUUAUAAAUCAGCAUUGUUUGGAUUUUACUAUAUACAUCCUAUGCAUGUUUUCUUAGAUUUACACCUAAGUAUUUCUCUUUUGGAGGAAUUAUUCUAAAUGAUAUUUAUUUUUACUGUCAGUUUUUAAUUACUCAUUGCUAGAAUAUAGAAUUAUAAUUGUCAAUUAAGUUGUGACAGAUUAAUUUCUUUCUGAUUCGUAUGCCUUUUCUUUUUUUUCAUUUUUCUUUUUCUUUUGCCUUAUUGUGCUGGGUGGCAUUCCAGUAAUAUGUUGAAUAUGAAUGGUAGAAGUGGACAUUCUUGAAUUGUUCCCCAUCUUAGGAAGGAAGCAUUCACUCUUCCACCAUUAGGUGUGAUACUAUGAUGUUAUCUGUAGGCUUUUUUUUUUUUUUUCGGAAAUGCUUUUAUGAGACUGACGAUAUUCUCUUCCUCUUCUAGUUUACAGAGAGAUUGUAUCAUGAAUGGGAUUAAAGCUUGUCAAAUACUUUUUUCUGCAUCAAACAGUAUAAUCACGUGCCUUUGCUUGUUUUGAUUUUUAAUUUGUAGAAUACUUCGAUUUUUAAAAUAUGGAUUAAGCCUUGCAUUAGUGGAAUAAGGGAAUAAAGUCCACUUAGUUUUAGUGUAUUACUCUUCUUAUAUGUUGUUAGAUUUGAUUUGCUAGUACUGUAUUGGGAAUGUUUGUGUCUAUGCUCAUGGGGGAUAUUGUUCUGUACUUUUCCUACGGUAACUGUCUUUGGUUUUGGUAUCAGAGUAAUGCUGACCUUAUAAUAUGAACUGGGAGUCUUCCCCUCCUCUUCUGUUUUCUGAAAGAAGUUGUAUAAGAUUAAUAUUAGUCUUUCUUUAAAUAUUUGGCAUGCUUAUAUUUUAAAAAAUCAUGUUGACAGAAUUGAGGUGUAUAUGUAAAGUAGAAUCAGGAAGGAGGCCACUGAAGUUAUUUUCAUGAGAGAUAAAGCUGUCUUGGCUAAGUAGAUAAUUAUAGGGAUGUAAAUAGACAAUUAUGUAACAUAUAUAUGUAUACUGGGUAGCAUUCCAGUAAUAUGUAGAAUAUGAAUAGUAGAAGUGGACAUUCUUGAAUUGUUCCCUGUCUUAGGAAGGAAGCAUUCAGUCAUCCACCAUUAGGUGUUAUCUGUAGGGUGCUUUUUUUUUUUUUUUUUGAAAAGCUUUUAUGAGACUGAGGAUAUUCUCUUCCUCUUCUAGUUUACAGAGAUGUAUUUACAAAUACAUGUCGAUUUGUAUGUGUGUAUACACACACACAUGUAAUUCCUAGGACACUUUCUGAUGCAUAACAGAUAGUCAAUCAAUGUAGUUUUCUUUUUCAUUUCCCCUAAGCUUAAUUUUCCCCAGAAAAUAUAGAUAUAAAUCAGAGUAACUCUUUAGAUCAGAGGCGGCCAAACUAUAGCCUGUGGGCUACCUGCUUCUUUUUGUAAAUACAUUUUUUGGGGUCACAGCCAUGCCAUUUUAUACAGGUUGCCCAUGGCUGCUUUUGUGCCACAACACCAAGGUCGAGCAGUUGCAGUAGAUAUCAUUUGGCCUGCAAGCCUUCGAUAUUUACAAUCUGACAGAGUACCAACCCUGUUUUUGCAAAGUCUCAGGCUGUGGAUGAUGUAAUAAUAGUAACAUGCAACAGCUUUUAGCAGAUAUUAUCCCACAGAAUAAAAGGCAACAUCCUUACGAUUUCCUACGAUGAUCUACAACAACCUGCUACUCCACUCUCUGCCUUCCUUAAUAUGUCUCUGACUUCAUCGCUUCUAACUCCCCCAUCACCUACUCCUUGUCAGCUUUCUUAUUCUUCUUCAAAAAUUUAGACACACUUCCUUU